CCACGUUUCAUAGGAGUGUGAUUUUUCUGCAGGACGGAACCAUUUCUGUCGUGUGAAAAUGGCAGCUAAUAAGGAGAUACACUUCCCUCUAACAACCGCUUUAGAGGCGUCCCACACAGUCUCCAUUUUAAAGUUGGUGUUUGCUGACACAAGGAUUGCUACCCCUCUUGCUUUUGACGUCCCGUGUGCUACAAAUUGAGAGGAGUACCAGUUUGAAGGCAAAACAUGCUCGCCUGAUUUUAGGAAGACCUCUUGCAAAAAUAUAAUGUUAAUAUUUUGAUGUUUCAUAUCAUUAGCUAUUCUUCUAGCUUUGAUUUUAUUGUUCAU